AGAAAAGUAAGCUAAAUUUAAGCUAAUGGGUUCAUACCCCACAAAUAGAGUAAACACUCUCUUCUCUA
rnacentral:tRNA from 1 species